rnacentral:rRNA from 1 species
ACCGGCGCACGGGUGAGUAACACGUAUCCAACCUGCCGAUAACUCGGGGAUAGCCUUUCGAAAGAAAGAUUAAUACCCGAUGGCAUAAUAGAACCGCAUGGUUUGAUUAUUAAAGAAUUUCGGUUAUCGAUGGGGAUGCGUUCCAUUAGGCAGUUGGUGGGGUAACGGCCCACCAAACCUUCGAUGGAUAGGGGUUCUGAGAGGAAGGUCCCCCACAUUGGAACUGAGACACGGUCCAAACUCCUACGGGAGGCAGCAGUGAGGAAUAUUGGUCAAUGGACGAGAGUCUGAACCAGCCAAGUAGCGUGAAGGAUGACUGCCCUAUGGGUUGUAAACUUCUUUUGUAUGGGAAUAAAGUGGUCCACGUGUGGAUUUUUGUAUGUACCAUAUGAAUAAGGAUCGGCUAACUCCGUGCCAGCAGCCGCGGUAAUACGGAGGAUCCGAGCGUUAUCCGGAUUUAUUGGGUUUAAAGGGAGCGUAGGUGGACAGUUAAGUCAGUUGUGAAAGUUUGCGGCUCAACCGUAAAAUUGCAGUUGAUACUGGCUGUCUUGAGUACAGUAGAGGUGGGCGGAAUUCGUGGUGUAGCGGUGAAAUGCUUAGAUAUCACGAAGAACUCCGAUUGCGAAGGCAGCUCACUGGACUGCAACUGACACUGAUGCUCGAAAGUGUGGGUAUCAAACAGGAUUAGAUACCCUGGUAGUCCACACAGUAAACGAUGAAUACUCGCUGUUUGCGAUAUACAGUAAGCGGCCAAGCGAAAGCAUUAAGUAUUCCACCUGGGGAGU